UAGGCAGCGUACUCAGUGGAGACAUUACCUAUCAUCGGUGUGGUCGCGGCCUCCGGGUUCUUCCCGGUUUUGUAGAGGUUAACUCUCACGCGCCACGCGUUUGAAUCCUUUUUUUACGAGCACCUUUCGUUCUCCUUCGGUGGGGCAACCUGCCGUUGGAAUCAUACAAAAACCUUUUUUGCAUCUAGGAUUACCUGUUCCGAUAACAAACAAUCGUUACAACUUUCAACAAUGGAUCUCUUGGCUCUGGCAUCGAUGAAGAACGCAGCGAAAUGCGAUAAGUAGUGUGAAUUGCAGAAUUCAUUGAAUCAUCAAAUCUUUGAACGCACAUUGCGCCCCUUGGUAUUCCAUGGGGCAUGCCUGUUCGAGCGUCAUCUACACCCUCAAGCUCUGCUUGGUGUUGGGCGUCUGUCCCGCCUCGGCGCGCGGACUCGCCCCAAAUUCAUUGGCAGCGGUCUUUGCCUCCUCUCGCGCAGCACAUUGCGCUUCUCGAGGUGUUUGCGGGGCCCGCGUCCACGAAGCAUUACCAGUCUUUGACCUCGGAUCAGGUAGGGAUACCCGCUGAACUUAAGCAUAUCAAUAAGCUGCAGAA
rnacentral:rRNA from 1 species